UCUAAAUGAAGGCAUGUUUAAGCUAGAACCAUUAAUGAGAGCACUGGUGACUAAAUCCCUACCAGAUCUAGGGAUUAAUGGUAAAGACAGGUCAGUCUGAAUCACCUGUAGCAUCAAGAUGAAAAUCAAGUUUUCACGGGGCAAUUUGUGCAGCCGGCUGCGAAACACAGCUUCGUUGCCGGAGUAUCUGUUAGUGAUUGAGAGAUAAAUAAUAUUGUUGGAGUAAAUAGUAAUAACCGUUGAAUGCACUAUCAUGUGCUACAAUAAAUAGAUUAAAUAUUGUUUUAUUCAGAAAGAAGGAAAAUAGACGCGAAACAGCUGGUUUGUUUACAUCGCUACAGAGGAAGCCUGGCAACAUUUUUUUAUUUUUAUUUUUUUCGUUUUCUCUUUUUAAUAGAAAAAAAAUACACCAAUGAAUUUGUCAGUCGUCAGAGGACUCUAUCUUGUUCGUUUUUAUGAGAUGAUGCAGAUGCUAGUGAGCCAGCGGUUGCAUUUCUCAAGUGUGAAUGUUAUCGGGUGAAACUAGCCGAUUGCUCAGCAAGCAGCCGUGAAUUGCCCCGUUUGAUUUUAUCGCACGUGAUUGCCACAAUGAAGUUUGCUUGGACGCGAGAGUCUGAGGAACUACUACUGGAGCAGGUACGGGAUCAUCGUAUUGUGUGGGACCCUAAACAUGUAGAUUACCACAGGUUCAAGCUGAGGCAAGAAAUUUUCUCCCAGAUUGCUGAUACCAUCAGGGAGCAGUUUCCAGAACUUAAGCAGCUUAACGGAGCAGUCAUCUGACUUGAAGAUGCCAGCAUUGAAUUUAGUACCUGAUGGCAUGUUGACAAAGGAGGAGAGGGUUCCCAGUCUUGUUUCAUCAGAGCCACAGGUUGUUAUCACCAGUGGCUUUGAAGUUUCCAACCCACU
rnacentral:misc_RNA from 1 species